CUCUGAAGGGAGCCGUUUCAAAGAGCUAUUUAAAAGACUGUCUCCUUUUUGUUCUAAAUCAAGGAACGAAUCACUGGUAGCGGUUAUAGAAUAAGAUUUGGGGCAUGAAAAAAUACGCACCUAGCAAUUUUUUUCUGAAUUAUUCAGAAAUAUUUAUAAUACAAUUAUUUGACUUGUGUUUUCAUUGUAAUGCAUAAAGUGGCGCCAUAUUCCCCUGCUUUAAGAAUAACAUAACAAUAAAUACUAAAAAUAUAAACAAAAAUAGAAUAAAAACGUGUUUAUCAAUUUUAUAUGCCACUUAUCCUCAUUAGGGUCGCAGGGGUAUGCUGGAGCCUAUCCCAGAUAACAUUUGGGUCGGUAAAUACAACAAUACUGUGAAUAUUUGAAUCAAUCUGCCCUCCAAUAGUGAUUACAACAAUGUUUUACUCAUAAAAAAGUUAAUUUGGACAAGAAAAUCCACACAAGUAUGAAACAUACCAAAUGUAUGCUUGAUUUCUACUUCAUUUGUGAGAUUUGAGGUAGAGGACACAUUGCUGACACUCAAGUGUUGCUGCGUUUUGCACAUAAAGCCCUGUCAAAAUAAAUUGCAUCUUAGGAAUCACAGAACCUCUGAAACAUGUCACAAGAGACAUGCAAGAAAGCAGCAUCAAGUGAAGUGCAUUUCCUCGUGUUGUCACAGGAAGUAAGUCUUCCGUGAACACUUUCUUGCAUUUUAAUACGCCAUCAAGACACUGGAUCCAAUGGAUGCCUCAAGUGAACAGAACCAGUCGUCCUCCUGUGAUAACUUUGCAGACAAUAUGGCAGACAGUGUCUUACAGUCAUGUUUCGAGCAAAUGAAGGACUUUGACCAGCAGACGACAACUUCCCUCCUGAGUAGACAAAGUUUGUCCAAGGUCAACUGGGCUUCCUGCGACACACUGGUGGCCAAGAUGGACGCCUUUGCAGAAUCUCUAGCCUGUGAUGUCAUCAAUUGGGUCCUGUGUGGUCAAAGCCGGCAAGGAGGAGACGAACUGGGUGGACUGGCCCACCAUUUGGCUGAAACCGUCAUCACAUCCUCCAUCCGGGAAGCUAAGAAUCUUUCGUAGAUUAACAGUAAUUAACAGCCAGUGUUGAUUCUCAAAGAAAUUAAUCCAGUUUUAAUUCACACUGCAGUAGCCCUGAAAUGCCAGUAGAGGGCAGCAUAAGCGAACAUUCCUUCCAGUAUAGUUCCUGUAAACAAAUUUAUCACUUACGGUUAACAUUUAUGGGUGCAAAAGCAUUCUUAUAUGAAAAUCAAACGAGAAGAACUAAAAUCAAACUAAA